CUACUCUCGCCCAAGCACGCUUAACUUCGGAGUUCUGAUGGGAUCCGGUGCAUUAGUGCUGGUAUGAUCGCACCCGUAAGUCUAUGCACGCAAUUCGGUUUUAUGUUGAGAAUCUUGCGCCGCAGCGGCUUAAAGCGUCGAUAACUUUUGACUCGGGAUGAGUUACGAGGCGAUCUGCAUACGCACGCGAAGCUCUUUCAGACGCCGUCGGCGUGUCAAUUAGGCGAAGCCCCAUUGACCCCGCGCUCGCAGUGAAAAGAGGCCGUUUAGCCCAGCUUCCGCCACUGUUAGGCGCGAUCGACGCGUUUAUCGGUGCAAUCAGCUCGUUCGAUCGAUUCGACCGGCCCCACAUUGCUCGGCGCACGUCGUGCUCGCGCUGAGAUAUGCAUUAGAUGCUCAUCGCCGUCAAAAAAAAAAAAGAA